GCGCAGGUGGCAGAGCGGUCAAUUGCAACGGACUGUAAAUCCGUCGCCCAUCGGGCUACGGGGGUUCGAAUCCCUCCCUGCGCACUA
rnacentral:tRNA from 1 species